rnacentral:rRNA from 1 species
UGGGGAAUAUUGCACAAUGGGCGAAAGCCUGAUGCAGCAACGCCGCGUGAGUGAUGAAGGUCUUCGGAUUGUAAAGCUCUGUCUUUUGGGACGAUAAUGACGGUACCAAAGGAGGAAGCCACGGCUAACUACGUGCCAGCAGCCGCGGUAAUACGUAGGUGGCGAGCGUUGUCCGGAUUUACUGGGCGUAAAGGGUGCGUAGGCGGAUGUUUAAGUGAGAUGUGAAAUACCCGGGCUUAACUUGGGUGCUGCAUUUCAAACUGGAUAUCUAGAGUGCAGGAGAGGAGAGUGGAAUUCCUAGUGUAGCGGUGAAAUGCGUAGAGAUUAGGAAGAACACCAGUGGCGAAGGCGAUUCUCUGGACUGUAACUGACGCUGAGGCACGAAAGCGUGGGUAGCAAAACAGGAUUAGAUACCCUGGUAGUCCACGCCGUAAACGAUGAGUACUAGGUGUAGGAGGUAUCGACCCCUUCUGUGCCGCAGUAAACACAUUAAGUACUCCGCCUGGGAA